GAGGGUAUGGCUCAAGUGAAGAGUACAUGCUUGUCAUGCACAAGGUUCUGGGUUCAAUCUCCAGUACCUCCU
rnacentral:tRNA from 1 species